CCGUGACCGAGGCCGGCGUGUGGGGCGCAACCUGAGCCGCCGGCGGCCCCAGGCCUGGCUCCGGGCUGUGACCUGGCGCAGCCGCCCUGCUCGCCGGCCGGCCGAGGCCACCAGGACCCCGGCCACCAGGAGCUCGAUGUCCUCCUUUUUGGAAAGUCGUGGAUCACACGACCUAACGACAGAUUCUGCCAGAAGUCAAACCAUCUUCCUGUAUGAGGCAACGAGGGCCCCGGGGCCGGGAGGCUGCACAGGAGCCCUCGGCGUCCCGUCUACCGCCUGAGCGACGCUGAGCGACGCUGGAACAGCCUCUCCUCUUCUCUGAGCCCCACGUGCCCAGCUCUGCUACAGGGUGAGCUGGCCGUGACGACCAAAGGCCUGGCCAUCGGAGAUGUUCUGAACUGGGCGGAUGUUACUGGAACCCCUGGGCUAUGACACUUCUUUAAAAGGAUUUCCCCAAGAAGCUGCCUUUCAGGUGAACCCCCAUCACGCCUGCAGUCUCUCUACCCCCCUUGAGGACCAGGCUGAUGUGAGGCCCUGGGAGAGGCCCCCGGGAGAGACACGGUGGUCUUCCGGUCCUGGAAAAUGAAGCCUGUUUUUGUUUCCCGAGUUCAGUGGUGUCCUCCAUCCUUAAGCUCCUGUCACAGUAUUGGAAAGAAAAACCAAUCCGACAAACAACAUUUACUACUAGGAAACCACCCAGAGACUCGGGCCUCUGCUUUCCCUGUGCUCACAGCCGAGUGCCUGGGUUUUCCUAAAAACCUCCCCCUACCUAGUUUCUCUGUGCAUAUAUCACUGUGUUUUGGAGACUUGGCUCUUAAAAUUGUCUCCAAGCCUCUUUGGCAUUGGAUAAAAAUGUCUGCAGAAUUAAAAAUAAGCCACCAAACAAGGAGCAUUCGUUAAAUGUUCGAGAACAUUUCCAACGCACAGUGUGAAACGAGAGAUGCACUCUGAGGGCGCCCCUCUCUGCUCCGUCUUCAGGAGCUGAGGAGAGGCUGCGUCCCGUUAUUUGAGCUUUGUGGGCCCGAGCCACUGCUGUUUUAUUAAUUUUUUUAUCUAUAAUUCUAAACUACUCUUGCAUUUAUUAGAACAAUAGGGAAGCUUAUUGAGGUGGUAUUUUUAUUAAAA